rnacentral:rRNA from 1 species
UACGUAGGGUGCGAGCGUUGUCCGGAAUUAUUGGGCGUAAAGGGCUCGUAGGCGGUUUGUCGCGUCGGGAGUGAAAACCCAGGGCUUAACCCUGGGCUGGCUUCCGAUACGGGCAGACUAGAGGUAUGCAGGGGAGAACGGAAUUCCUGGUGUAGCGGUGAAAUGCGCAGAUAUCAGGAGGAACACCAGUGGCGAAGGCGGCGUUCUGGACUGCAACUGACACUGAGAGACGAAAGCCAGGGGAGCAAACGGG